UACGAAGGGGGCGAGCGUUGUUCGGAUUUACUGGGCGUAAAGGGCGCGCAGGCGGCUAUCCAAGUCAGGCGUGAAAGCCCCGGGCUUAACCUGGGAGGUGCGUCUGGGACUGGGUGGCUAGAGAUCGGGAGAGGAGAGUGGAAUUCCCAGUGUAGAGGUGAAAUGCGUAGAUAUCAGGAGGAACACCUGUGGCGAAAGCGGCGCACUGGGACGGUACUGACGCUGAGACGCGAAAGCGUGGGGAGCGAACAGG
rnacentral:rRNA from 1 species